AGACGUAGGGGGCUAGCGUUGUCCGGAAUUACUGGGCGUAAAGAGCACGUAGGCGGGUUAGCAAGUCAGAUGUGAAAGACCGUGGCUCAACCACGGGGUUGCAUCUGAAACUGAUAAUCUUGAGGGCAGGAGAGGAAAGUGGAACUCCUGGUGUAGCGGUGAAAUGCGUAGAAAUCAGGAGGAAUACCAGUGGCGAAGGCGACUUUCUGGACUGACCCUGACGCUGAGGUGCGAAAGCGUGGGUAGCAAACAGGAUUAGAUACCCUGGUAGUCCACGCUGUAAACGAUGGAUACUAGGUGUGGGAGGUAUCGACCCCUUCCGUGCCGGAGCUAACGCAAUAAGUAUCCCGCCUGGGGAGUACGGUCGCAAGGCUGAA
rnacentral:rRNA from 1 species